rnacentral:lncRNA from 1 species
UAUUUUUUGAGUUAGAAUAAAAAGAAAAAAGAAAGCAAUUUGGCAUCUUUGGCAUAAUCUAUAUUUUCGCGAAAUGGAUCAUAAUAAAAUAGAUUUUAGGUAUCUAGGGAAGAUUCACUUGGAAGUAACUAUUUCCUAGAUACCCAUGCAGGGGACUUCGCGGUGGAAUGAAUCAACUCGAAAAAUCCCUAAACUAAAAAAGACCUAAAGUUAAGGAUUUAUCAAUGGGUAAUGUUGCUCCAAUACCUAACCAAAGAGCUACUGCAGUACCGAUUAAAAAAACGGUCGUAGCUACUGGGCGACGAAAUGGAUUUUGGAAUUUAUUGACAUUCUCUAGAAAGGGUACUGUCAAUAAGCCCGUUGGCACAGAACCAUUAAGAGAACGCCCAAUAACUUAUUGGGUACUGUACGGAGUAUUUGAAAUACGGGAAAGAAGUACCACUCGGGUAAUAUUUCCAAAGGAGUUGCAAACGGAUCCGCCGGUUCACCAAUCAUUGACGGCUCUAGAACCGCUAAACCUACAUUACACACAAUAGUACCUAGAAUUACUACUGGAAAAUGUAUAAAAGAUUGUUGGGCCACGCGGGUUCCCCAUAAUAAUUAUGUCCCAUCCCUUUAGCUAAUUUUGCUCUUAAUACAGGAUCAUUUAAGUCAGGUUUCUUUGUUAUUGGGAUAGGUGAAUUCUUUAGGAUCCAUCCCCCAAAGGAACCGGACAUGAGAAUUUUUCAUCAUCCGGCUCGAGGAAGAAUGAAAGAAAUAAGACCGUGGAGGAUCCACAAUAGAAUAGGGGUAUAUAAUGACUCAAUGGCUCAAGGUAAGAAAAACUUUAUCAAAUUAUCUUUUCCGAAGUUGCGCCUAUAACUACUCAUUGAAAAGAAUCCUAUUCUUAUGCUUAUCUAAUCUAAAGGACUCAUUUUCUAUUUUAGGAUUAAACAAAAGGGUUCGCAAAUAAAAGCGCUAGUGCCACAACCAUUCCAUAAAUUGUUAAAGCUUCCAUAAAAGCUAGACUAAGCAAUAAAGUACCUCUUAUUUUACCUUCUGCUUCUGGCUGUCUCGCAAUACCUUCUAAAGCUUGUCCUGCAGCAGUACCUUGACCAACUCCGGGCCCAAUAGAAGCAAGCCCUACGGCCAAUCCAGCAGCAAUAACGGAAGCAACAGCAAUUAGUGGAUUCAUGAUGAGUUCCUCGUGUCAAAAAAAAAAGAAAUGGUUAAGGAUACAAUCAACCAAGAAAUUAUUACUUCCAACUUCUAAGCUCUAUCGGGUAGAAGUAACUAAUAAGUACAAAUAAAUGAUAAUCGAAAUCGUUCGAAUUACUUCGAGAUCUCGUUUUUAGUUUCUAAUCAUUAGAGGUUUGUGUAAAUCCAUAUGAUUCUCAUUAUUCUAUUUCUCUUUCUUUUCAACCAAUCACUCUUUUAUUCCAUCCUUUUUUUUACUCUUCGAUAUACCUGUCUUUCACCGGGUUGGUCCCAAUGCAGUGGAGUUCUGCAAUUCCUCCCAUAAAGUGCUUUGAAUGGUGACAUUUUUAGACUGGCUUGGUAGCUGUUGUUGUAGGAGAAUUCUACAUAUGGUAGCCUCUUGUCCCAACCUAACUUGUCUUGCAAAGCACAAGCUCUCAACAUAUCCUCAAGAAUCUGGUUGGUUCUUUCAGUCUGACCAUCUGUCUGCGGGUGAUAAGCUGAAAUGAAUUUCAAGUGUGUACCCAAAGCUUCGUGUAGCUACUACCAAAAGUGAGAAGUAAACAGGGUGCCUCUAUCCGAUAUUAUCUUCUUUGGAAUACCAUGCAAGCACACAAUCCGAGACAUGUAUAACUCUGCCAACACUGCACUGUUAUAGGUGGUCUUGACUGGUAUGAAAUGGGCCGCCUUUGUCAAACGGUCCACGACUACCCAGAUGGAGUCAUAAACAGCUUGUGUGCAGGGAACACCAACUAUAAAGUCCAUCCCAAUCUCAUCCCAUUUCCACUAAGGAAUCUGUAACGGCUACAACAGACCCGCGGGUCUCUGAUGUUCUGCCUUAACCCUCUGACAACUGUCGCAUCUGGCCACAUACUCUGCUAUCUCUCUUUUCAUACCAUACCACCAGAAUCUCUUCUUCAAGUCUUGGUACAUUUUCUCACUACCAGGGUGUAUAGAAUACGCUGUCUCAUGAGCUUCCUUGAGAAUCAGUUCUUAGAUCGAGGGGAUGUCGGGAACACACAGCCUAUCCUUGAACCAUACCACUCCUUCUGCAUCUUCAUGGAAAUCUGGACCUUUCCCAUCGAUGAUCAGCUGUCGGAUCUCGUUGAUCUUCUCAUCAUCCUUCUGACCUCUUCUGAUGUCUUACUCUAGAGUGGGCUCUAGCUCAAUUGUCACUCCUUGAGUGUUGUUCACAAAUCCGAGACUCAACAUGUCGAAUUCCUUUGCUAGCUCAAAUGGCAUCGGGUGAGCGGCCAACAUAUUUACUUGAUUCUUCCUGCUCAGAGCAUCUGCAACCACAUUUGCUUUGCCUGGGUGAUAAUGAAUCUCUAGCUCAGAGUCUUUGAUCAAUUCUAGCCACCUUUGCUGCCUCAUGUUUAACUCUGACUGAGUGAAUAUGUACUUGAGGCUCUUGUGGUCCAUGUAGAUAUCACACUUCUGCCCAUAAAGAUAAUGUCUCCAGAUCUUCAAUGCAUGAACCACUGCUACUAGCUCCAAAUCAUGAGUGGGGUAAUUCUUCUCGUGAACUUUCAAUUAUCAGGACGAGUAUGCCACUACUCUCCCUUCCUGCAUUAACACACAUCCCAGUCCGGUGUACAAAGCAUCACAAUAUACUAAGAAUGGCUUGUGAACAUAUGGUAAAACCAACACUGGCGCUGUUGUCAACUUUUGCUUCAACAUUUCAAAUGAUUCUUGGCACAUUGGGGUCCACUUGAACUCAACCUUCUUUGCUAGCAAGGCUGUCAUUGGUCUGGCAAUCUUGGAGAAACCUUCAAUGAAACGUCAAUAAUAACCGGCCAUUCCAAUGAAACUCUUGUUUCCUCGGACAUCUCUUGGUGCUUUCCUGUCCAGAAUCGCUGCUACUUUCUUUGGAUCCACAGCUAGUCCAUCUCAGUUUAUAAUAUGACCCAAGAAUAGAACUUCGCUGAUCCAGAACUCACACUUGCUAAGCUUGGCAUACAACUGGCAAUCUCGUAGCCUUUGAAGUACCUUCCUCAAAUGUUCCUCAUGCUCUUGCUCAUUUUGGGAAUAUAUAAGAAUAUCAUCAAUGAACAUCACUACAAACUUGUUGAGGUAGUCCAUGAACACACUCUUCAUCAGGUACACAAAGUAAGCUGGCGCAUUCGUCAAUCCGAAUGACAUAACCAUGAACUCAUACAGUCCAUACUUGGUGGUGAAUGUUGUCUUUGGUAUAUAUGCAGGUCGGAGUCUGAGCUGACGGUAACCUGACCUCAGAUCUAUCUUUGAGAACACACUGGCUCCUCUCAACUAAUCAAAUAAAUCUUCAAUUCUGGGCAGGGGGUACUUAUUCUUGAUAGUGACUUCAUUCAAGGCUCUGUAAUCGAUGCACAUCCUCUUCGUGCCAUCCUUCUUUUCCACAAAUAACACCGGGGCUGCCUAAGGUGAGGUACUUGGCCUGAUGUAACCUUUCUCUAACAACUCAUCAAUUUGCUUCUUGAGUUUCACCAACUCUGGUCCGGACACUCGAUAAGCUCUCUUGGAAAUAGGAGCGGUGCCUAGGAUAAGCUCUAUAGCAAAUUCAACUUUCCUUUUAGGUGGCAUGCCUGGUAACUCUUCAGGGAAUACAUCGGGAAAUUCUGACACAACCCUAAUUGCCUCAAUCGGAUUGGACUCCUUGUCAUCUACUGAUAAAUGGUGACAGGCUCCUUCUUCUAGUUCAUGUAAGUAUAGCCUGGUUAUUACCUCCUUUCUAGAUGGGGACACCAACUUAACUGUUCUCUUGUCACAACUGACAGUGACUUGAUUUCUAUGUAGCCAAUUCAUCCCUAGGAUGACAUCUAAUCCUUGAGUUCCCAUUACUACUAGGCUAGCGAGGAAGGCUAUGCCCCUUAUUUCAAUCCUUAGAUUCGGACAAAUCCUAUCAGACUGAACUUUUCCCCCAACUGAAUUAACUCUCAAAGGUGGGAUCAUUGGUUCUAUGGGGAUGUUAUGUGAUUCUACCCAAGAUGCAGAAACAAAAGAAUGUGUGGCACCAGUAUCAAAUAAUACUUUUGCUGGGUAGGAUUCGACUGGAAACAUACCUACUGCCAUGUCCUGAGCAUCCUGGAUUGCUUCGGCCUCCAGGUGGUUCACUUUUCCACGGUUGUAGGCCUGACCACAGACUCCUGUGCUUGCUGUGGUGCUCCUUGUCUUGCUGGGGCGUUGACUGCUGGCGGUUGCUGGGCUGCUUUCUUUGGACAAUUCUUUGCCCAGUGAUUCUAUUCUCCACAGUAGAAGCAUGCACGACCUCCUACUUGUGCCGGGGCUGCUUGGCCAUUCUAGUUGGUUGCGAGGGCAGGAAGACGAGCUGCCUGGUUGUUCUGACGUUGGUACUGAUUUCCUCCCGGCUGAGUGUUCUAUCGGUACUGCUGCUGUUGUUGCUGAGGAAACUGCCUCUAGUACUGGUGCUGGUGCUGACGCUGAUGCUGGUGCUGGUGGUGGUGACCUUGCUUGAAUUGUUGUGGCGAGUUGCCUGAGUAACGGGGACGACUGCUACUCCCGGCCUGAGGCCCACCAAUCUUGCGCUUCCUAUCCUCCAUCUCCCGACGCUUCCUUUCAGUCAUGAUUGCUCUGUCUAUCAAGUGCUGGAAGGUGGGGAAAGUGUGGUUCAUGAGCUGGUAAUGGAGCGGAUCAACCAAUCCUCUCAGAAAGUGGUACUGUCGCUUGGCAUCUGUGUUGACGUCUUCUGGGGCAUAACAUGACAGCUGCAGAAACUUAUCCUUGUACUCACUGACGGAUAGGGGACCUUGCUUCAGGGCGAGAAACUCCUCCUUCCUCACUAUCAUCAGUCCCUUGGGCACAUGGUAGCGACGAAAGUUGUCCCUAAACUCCUCCCAAGUAAUGGCUUCAGGGUUGGCAUGGGUGGCGAGGUAAGACUCCCACCAAGACUGGGCUACUCCCCUCAGCUGUCAGGGACCAUACAACACCUUCUCACGGUCCUUGCACUGAGCAGUGUGCAACUCACGCUCCACAGUACGCAACCAAUCUUCCACAUCCAUGGGAUCAGCAGAGUGGGCAAACACAGGGGGAUGGCCCCUCAUGAAUUCUGCCCGCUUGUCUCUGGGCACUUGUGGCAUCUGGACUUGCACUGGAGGCUGAGGUGGUGGUGGCUGUUGCUGAACCUGCUGCAUCGCUGCUAAUAUCUGACCAAUUGCCUGAACUGCCUGGGUCUGCAUCAAGAACAUCUGCUCAAUGGUCAUCGAGGGUGGCGGUGGCAAAUGCUGCUGCGGAGCUGCGUCCUCUUGGGGUGCCUGCUGCUCUGGCUGAGCACGCCUCGCACCUCUGCGCCUAUUCUUAGACAUCUGUAGAAAUCACACACAUAUCAGAUCCGACUCUGCAGUCUUUCAGCAUAAGAAAAGAUAUACGGAAAUCUUCACAGCACUGAACAAUUGAUCAUCUUCACUGACAACUUCUCAGAUAAAGAGGAAAGUGGAAAUAAAUGGUUUACCCAACUAAAUAACUGACUUUAUUAAUAACUACACCAAGUUGCAGGGGAUACCCACCCCUUAGUAACAAUCAUUACAAAGAUCCAACUUCAUUACAUGUUCAUCAUGACAAGCAUCCAACAAAAGAUAACCAAACUAACUCUAACUAAGACUGACUAGACUAAGACACUGAAGUAAGCAUUAUUACAGACUCCGACUCCAUCGAUCUAUGGAUCUAAAUCUAUGCGGGUCCUACAGUCUGGGGUACCAUAGUCGAAGCGACCACGGGGCAGUGAACGGUAAGGGUGCUGAAUCCCGACAGGGGCGAGAGAUCCACCAUCCAGGUAGUGGCGUGCCGCGCAUUCAGCACGCAAUUCCGCAACCUUCGCCCGAACCUUGCCUAACUCGUCAAGGGCGUGGUCCAACUCUGUGUUGAGCACGACGACCAAGUUGACCAUGCUGCUCAGCCUGGGAUUGCCCUCACCAACUGGCGAGAUAAUCACACCUCCAGCACUGCCGGUCGAACGGCAAGGGUAGUACUUCAGGUCAAGGCCGUCAGCUACCCCGCUGAACAACGAGCAAUACUGAGAAAGUGCCCGUCGUGCUGCAUCUUGCAUGGCUGCCUCGGCAUUGUCCCUCUCAGUGAUAGAAUAGUGCUCUGAGAAGGCCUCUGCACCCCGGAGAUCAUCGUCCGGAUGGUGCACCAAGCAAGUAGCCUCCCACUGGUCUGGGUAUAGCCCGCGAUGAUGCUGGUAGACUACACAAUGGUACUCGAUAGACCAUGUGUGUCGGUCGAAGGCCCGACGCAACAGGGUAUCGAGAGCAUCGUGGAAGUGACACCCGCGAGCGACAUCACGAGUGAUGGGUCUGGCAAUCCAUCCCUCCGGCUCAAGCUCCUCUGAGCGCUCCGUGCCGUGGCUCGAACUGCCACCGGCGUUGUCAUCGUCUCCGUCUCCAUCGGGGUCUCCUCCAGCAGCCGGGAUGCCCUAUGGUGAUGUAGGGGGCAUCUCUGGCUGAGGUGUAGGGGAAGGCGGCCUCUCAGACUCCACCUCCCGCUGAGGCGAGGGGGAAGAGUCCUGCUGCUCCUGCUCUUGGCGUCGGCGCUCCUGCUCCUCAUACAGGCGACGCUGCAAUCUCUCCAUCUGGCUGGACUGACCUGACACCGUGCGACGCAGUGGACGCUCCGCCAGGCGAGAAGGCAAAAAGGGGAUCACAUACUUACGUGCAGUGCACUUGAGACGAGCCAUCUACAAAAGACAUCAUAAACACAAGAGUAAGAAUAGAACUAUGAGACCAGAAAGUAAACAAAAAGGAAAGUGAGACAAAACUUUUGAGAUAUGUAAAUAACAUAGAGUUGGUCAAGAUGACAAACUUUUGAAAAGACACUAAGGUCAAGGUAAGAGUAGAGGUCUAUAGUCCUUAGGUCGACCAUUCUAGUCUAGGUUAGUGGUCCUACAGUCAACAAGGCUUUGAUACCACUUAUGUCACACCCGGUUUUGGAAGGUAAAACGAAUGCGAACCAUGUAUGUGCUAGGAUCAUAACUCACGUACACAGCGAUUACAUAAUUGGACAUCAUCACAAAAUGCUUGAAUUAAAUAGCAGAAAUGUACUUAGUUACAUCAAGAUGUCUGAGACAUCCAUAGAGUCUAUUACAUAAUCAUAGUGUUUAACAAUAACAUCAAAGUGCGGAGUAACGAAACGUAGAAUGUAAGCCUACAUAGGCAGCUAACUGGGGGUUUUCCACUAAGAUAAACUAGAACUCAUCGUAUUCCUGGAACUCCUCGAAGUCAUCCAUGUUGCCAGCUUCACCUCCUGAGCACUGAGAACAGUGGGGACAACCUGGGGUGGGGUGGUUUGUAAAGCAAGGGUGAGUACACUUCAACGUACUCAGCAAAUGUCCCAUUUGGCUAAAGUAGACUAGUUGUAUGUGGAGUUUAAAGUUAAGCAGUUUCUUUUAGUUGGUCAAGUUUUAUUACUAUAAGUAGAGCCAAGUUUUAGUAAUAACUCAGUUAUUACCUAGAGGCACUUCCUCCAAGAGGAAAUACCAGAGAUCAAAAUUAUUAUCACCAUUGUUAAUCAUCAUCAUAAAAGUAACCAUUGUUGUUCUAAUCGAAGAGGAUCACAAGGCUUCUCAUAACCGCGAGCACGGCUAAUAUGCCAGUUUCUAACACUCUGCAGAGGUUGCACACUUUACCCAUAAGCUGUGAUUCCCAUUCUGCCCGGGGUUCUAGCCUCCCCAUUGAUCACUACCAAUGUGACCUAGCAGGGUCUCACUAUGUAGUCUUUACAAAGAUUUCCCAGAGGUCAUAGCCGCCCGUUAGGUUUCUCCAGUUUGAUAAACACAUUACAUCUCCCCAAAGGAAGGGUGACUAACAAAACCAAAUCAAAGAACCUCUGCAACCAACCUCGGCAGAGCAAGUACUGUGCCUAGACCCCAUUGACGGCCCUACGACGAAGCCAACUACUCUUCUAGUUCCUCUAAUUAAUCAGCUAAGGGCGUCCCAUUCCACCCUCAUGGUUCAACUGUUAUCCUGGGUUGUCACUCCCCAAACAGGUCCUUACGGAGAGGCACUCAGGAAAGAGCCUGAGCCCCUAAAGUAAUCACAAGGACCUCAUCGGGAUAACAUUAUCGUAUCAUAAAACAUCACAUCAUGUUCAUUGAUUAAGUUUAAGCAAUAGCAUAAGCUAACCAUGAUUAACCCAAAAAGGUAAACAAGGGUAAGGGAAAUACAAACUAGUCAAUCCUUAAGUUUCAGUAAUGUAGUGCGGGAUAGUGAAUUAUAAAGUAUAGUAGGACAUAGUAGGUCUCAGGACACUUGCCUUCACCAGGUUGUUGCUCAGGGAGGUCUCCAACAAAACACUCAGGAACCUCGGACUGCUCGUUGUCUAAGUAAAGCGAGCAUACAUUCAAUACAUUUGAAAAAGAAUAAAUGAAUAGCACAUCAAGCAUUUACAAUUGUGGCGGAACUGCCCGAAUUAUUCCAACUUAAGUGCCUAAGUCCCACCUUAAAGGCUAGACCACACUUAAAUAGGAAUAAAACGUCAGUCCCUCGGAUCUAGUCCGACGAGGCCACUAACAGGAUCAAGUACCACGUACUCACUCGAAGGUGAGGCACAGAGCAAACAUAAUAAAGCAUAAAACCAUAAGUUAAGGAGUAUUUAAUUUAUUACAACAUCAUCGGAGUUUAUCAAAAGUAGUCAUCAUUGUUCAGAAUGCAGCGGAAUAUAACUAACAGUAAAUAAUUGGAGGGAUGGGGAAGCCUGUCCCAUCACUCCUCAUGCUCCUCCUCUGCCGAGGUAGGGUCCCACUCGACUAUCCAACCCGGUGGCAAUAUGGACGGCCAAGUUACUCCAGCAACCAUGUCCUCCAGAGAACCUGUAAAAAUUAUGCCACAAGCAAGGCUGAGUAUACUAAUACUCAGCUAGACUUACCCGGUGUGAAGAGUCUACUCCUCUACCUCUAGACAUGCAGUUGUUUGGCUGAGGGGUUUGGUUUGCCAAAAGCACUAGCUGAGUCUAAAAUCAGAUUUUUGCUCUUCAAGUUUUAGUGUGAUUCUCUUAAGACUAAAUGUGUAUCUAUCUAAUCAUACAUGGUAUCAAUCAUUUAGCAAUCAACAUCAUUUUUGUGAGUCAACACAUUUCCACUUGUUACUCAAUGUAGCAGCAUGGAUCAAGCAGUCUCAUUAGUUGCGAGAAGCAGACGAUUCGAAUCAAGUUUUUAAACCUUGCAAGGUAAACCUAAACACACGAUGUGGCAAGGCACUCCGUCCCCACACACAUCAACCGUCCCCAUCAAUUCCCCGUCAACAGAUCAGGGCUCACCGCCUUGGCGUACAAUGCCUCACUGACCCCGACUGCCGUUGUGCAGUGACCGCACUUGUACCCACCAUAACCGGAAUGGGAGACCACGUCUCAGGUCGCGUGAGGGGCAAAGUCUGCGGGCAGGUUCACUCAGGUACUAGGCUUACCGAUUUACCAUAUUUCUCGGCAUGUGCUUAGUACGUUCAAACGCUUGACACACGGUACCACACCUUAAUCCUUAUUCCCAUUUCCAUCUCGUAGACAACGCAUCCCCAUGGACCGUUGUCCAUAGACCAUCAUCAAUACGAUAUAUAAAUGGAUACAAGCAAUUCCUGACCUCGCGCGAGUGCUAGAAAAAUCACUCGACUUCUACCGAUAUCCCUAAUUAGCAAGCAGCUACUCGACCUAACAUACUAGUAUCCAUCUCAAAAGGAAAUCCUGAGUUCAUGCAACUAAGUUUCCAAACAACUCCUACACUUAAGUGCACAUUACAAACCUACAAACAUUAAGUGCAGUAAAAUAACAUAUAGAAUAGGUUAUGCAUAAAACCGGGGCUUGCCUUCCAAAGCUGGGGCAAGCAGAUCCUCGAUGGCAGGCUCUGGUGCUUGAACGAGGAUGUAUUACCCGUCAGCGGGAUUACAGUCUAUCGAAUGCAAUGAAUACGAUAUAUGCAUAUUAAUGAUAUGAAAAUUUGUAAAGGCUAUGCAUAGUAAAACAGUACUAAAUUAUGCCCCUGGGGCAAGCAGAUCCUCGAUGGCAGGCUCUGUUUACAUUUAAAUGAAAAUUUUUUAAAAGGUUUUAUGAAAAACUAGUUUACACUGAGGACCCUCGGCUUUUCCUAAACCAAUUCUUUAAUUUAUGCCCCUGUGCAACUAUUCAUCUGAGUCUCUCACCAUUAAAAACCCCCCGACUUCUUCUCCUUUCUCCCCGAGGUGCCUCCCCCCUUUUAAACAGUAACCGCAGAAUUAAACAGGGCGGCGCGGCUUACCGGCGGCGAGGGAGGUCCGGCGAAGGGCGGGGUUAGCUCUGGGAAGUCCUUGCGGUCACAUCGAGGUACGGCUCGUCGACGGUGAUGGCCGGAAUCGGUCGGGCCACGUGCGCAGGCGGGCAGGCUCGUCGGCGGCGUGUGCUCUGGCCUGCUCAUGGCGGUAGGGUUCAAUCCAAGGGCACAGGGAGCUUCACGGGGUGCUAAGGAAUCUACCCGUGCAAGGAAUCGAAGAAAUACUCACCGUGGGGCUCGGUCUAUGUACGCCGGCGGUCGGGUGAAGUCCGGCGACGUUGAUCUGGUGUCUCCGACGAGGUAGAGCUCGAUUCCUGGCUCUGGAAGCUUUACCGAGACACGUAGAGGCUAGCUUGAGUGUUGGACGGGGCGGGAAUGGCUAGGAUGGCCGGUCUAUGGUGGUCGGGUCUCGGGCAGCCGCUGGCACGCCAUGCGCAGAGCAAUCGCCGGUGAACUUGUGCUCCGGCGAGGUUGAGAGCGAGCGGGGGCGUACGGUCGAGGCCUUGGUCGGCUUUAUAGGCGCGGGCGCGGGCACGGGUUUGGCUUGGUGCGGCGCGGUGCGCGCGGGGUCGAGCGCCGGGGCGUGCUCUAGCGUUGCCAGGGCGCGUCGAACAUGUGGUUGUGUUAUUCUGCCCAAGUUCUUGCGCCUGCUGAGCACCAAACGUUUGAAUCUUGCCAUAUGGCUUGUGUAAGAUUUCUUCCCUACACCUAGAGCUACCUAGUUCAUGUGAGUUCCAAGGGGAGAUCGGGUCUGGCUUAGAAGAUAUGGUGGCGCCAAGUCUUGUGUGUCUGCAUUGUUCAACCCGGGACAAAACAGGUGUCAACUCAUGUCAAACGGUCUUGGCAUGGGUUCAAACACUUCUAGGGUGCCCCUUAGGUAAUUUAGCUCCUUUUUGUUAUUUAGACCAAGUGGUUUUGGUGCCAUCAAUUAGGUGAACACCUCUGAUCUAUAGAUUAGGGUUGAUUUUGGACUUAGAGAAAAAUGUGGGUUACUCUAUAGUGUCCUCCAUUUGGGGGCUGAUUUGGGGUCUUUAAGGGGUCUUUUUGUAAUGUUUCCCUUACUGUAUUUUAUAGAUAUAUUAGUGUACUUAAACUUUGGUUAAGGGUUAAAGCCAAGAAUUUGUCAUUUGAUUAGCUUUCCCACUAAUCUCCUGCUUGAAGGUCUAAUGCUUUAAGGGGGUCUAGGGUUUGAACCUCUUUUGUCCAGGGUGAUAAUUGCAUAAAAUAUUUGGGUAAUGCUUUUGUCAUGAACAUUCCAUAGUUAACCCAUGGUUUCCAAGGUUUUGGUUCUCCUUCUCCUCCACUUAAACACAUGUGAUAACAAGUCAUAAGUGCAUGUAUGGAGCCAGGGCCUUGGGUAACACCUGGGGUGUUACAGCCCUCCCCCCUUAAAGGAAUCUCGUCCCGAGAUUUGGGUGGGGAUCCUUUAGAGGGGUACCAAGAAGGUGUGUUGGUGUGUUGCAAUUUCCUUUAACCAAGUUGUUCUAAUUAACUGCUCUUCGAAUGUCAUUCUCUUUGCAACUUCAGAAGGAAGUCCUUUUUGAUUUCUUUCCACACCUUACUCUACUCUUAACAACUAAGUUUUUCUUAUAUUUAGAUUCAAAGGGCAGGUGGGGGUGGUGUUUUGGGUUACGUACCGACUCCUCUAGGCAGAAAGUCGGGGAAGCGAGAAUGUAGAAAAUCCUCAGUCUCCCACGUAGCCUCUUCUACUGAAUGGUGGCUCCACUGAACCUUAUACAUCAUGAUCGACCUUGCCCGAGUUGAUCUCUCCUUUUGGUCCAAUACCUUGAUGGGGUGCUCUUGAUAAGACAAGUCUGGUUCUAUAUCCAAUUCUUGUUCUGGUAGUACUUCCGUGGGUAAGCGGACACACUUCCGUAGCUGAGAUACGUGGAAUACAUCAUGGAUUGCUGACAUAUGAGGUGGCAACUUCAAUUGAUAUGCUACAGGUCCACAAGUCACUUUGAUCUCAUAGGGCCCAAUGUAGCGAGGAGCUAACUUGCCCUUGAUUUUAAAUCUCUGAACACCUUUUGUGGGUGACACCUUAAGAUAAACAUGAUCUCCCACUUCAAAUUGUAGAGGCUUCCUCCUCUUAUCAUGGUAACUCUUUUGUCUGGCCUGAGCAGCUUCUAAGUUCUUCUUAAUGACUCUGACUUUCUCCUCGGCUUCAAGUACUAGGUCAGGUCCAAAUAUUUCCCUCUCUCCAGCUUGUGACCAAUUUAGCGGUGUCCUACACCUUCUCCCAUACAAGGCCUCGAACGGUGCCAUCUUUAGGCUGGACUGGUAGCUGUUGUUAUAAGAGAAUUCUGCCAAGGAAAGGCACUUGUCCCAAUUCUUUCCAUAGUGUAGCACACAGGCUCGCAACAUGUCCUCAAGAAUUUGGUUCACUCUCUCCGUAUGUCCAUCUGUCUAAGGAUGGUAUGCUGAGCUUCUAAUUACAUGGGUCCCAAGUGAUUCUUACAGUUGCUCCCAGAAACGUUCUACAAACGGUGCUCCUCUGUCUGACACAAUAGUCCUUGGUAUUCUAUGCAAACGAACUAUCUGGUCAAUAUAGAUCUCAGCAUACUUCUCUGCCCUGUGGGUGGUAUGUACUGGCAAGAAAUGAGCUGUCUUGGUCAACCUAUCCACAAUGACCCAAAUAGAAUCGUGGUGUCGGGAUGUGUUGGGUAAACCCACAAUAAAAUCCAUACAAAUAUCCUCCCAUUUCCAAGCUGGUACGGGAAGAGGCUAUAAGGUACCGGCUACCUUCAAAUGACUAGCUUUGACUCUCUUGCAAGUGUCGCAUUCAGAUACAUACUUAGCAAUUUCUCUCUUCAUUCUGGUCCACCAGUACAAGGAUCUGAGAUCAUGAUACAUCUUGUUACUGCCGGGGUGCAUGGAGAAUUUGGAAAGGUGAGCUUCGUCCAAUAUUUUCUUCCUGAGUUCGGGAUUCUUAGGAACAACCAAUCGGUCUUCAAACCAUAGAACUCCCUUGCUGUCCUGACAGAAGAAUUUGUACUUAUCCACCUUCUGUUCGAUCAUUUCCUUAAUGACUUGAACACCCUUGUCACCGAUCUGUGCCAUGACUAUUUGCUCCUGCAAAGUGGGCUCCACUGAGAUAUAACUCAAGGUACCUAAGGAAACAACUUCUAUGUUUAGCUUGCACAACUCGUCACAUAGAGUGGCGAUCUUGGAGUCCAUAAUCACACAGUUGCACUAGUCCUUCCGGCUUAAGGCAUCUGCCACAACAUUGGCCUUGCCAGGAUGGUAGUGCACUUCCAAAUUAUAGUCCUUGAUUAAAUCCAACCAUCUUCUCUGCCUCAUAUUAAGAUCAGCAUGGGUGAAAAUAUACUUGAGACUCUUGUGAUCAGUAUAGAUAUUACAAUGAGCUCCUAUCAAGUAAUGCCUUCAUAUCUUCAGAGCAUGAACUACGGCUGCUAACUCCAAAUCAUGUGUGGGGUAGUUCUGCUCAUGAGGCUUGAGUGCUCUAGAUGCAUAGGCAAUAACUCUGUUGUAUUGCAUCAAGACACAUCCCAAACCAGUGCCUGAAGCAUCACAAUAAACUUCAAAUGGUUUGGUGUUGUCAGGCUGAGCUAGCACGGGUGAUGUUGUCAGAUGCUGCCUCAAUGUAUGAAAGGCAUCCUCGCAUUUCUGACUCCAAUCAUACUUUACUCCUUUCUUCAACAACUCAGUCAUUGGCUUUGCAAUCCUAGAGAAAUCCGGAAUAAACCGCCGAUAUACCCUGCCAAUCCCAGAAAACUCCGAAUCUGCCAUACCGUGGUAGAAGGCUUCCAAUUCAUUACUUCUUGUACUUUCUCAUAUUCAACUGACACCCCCUCCUAAGAAAUGGUGUGACCCAAAAACUUGAUUUCCUUCAACCAGAAAUCACAUUUGGACAACUUAGCAUAUAGAUGAUGAUAGCGCAGUCUCUGAAGUACUGUAUGCAAGUGCAUAGUAUGCUCCGGUUCAUUUAUUGAAUAUACCAGAAUGUCAUCAAUGAAAACCACCACAAACUUAUCCAGUUCUGGCAUAAAUACUGAGUUCAUCAAAUACAUGAAAUUUGCCGGGGCAUUGGUCAGCCCGAAUGACAUCACCAAGUACUCAUAAAGCCCAUAUCUGGUAGAGAAAGCCGUCUUCGGAAUAUCACUGGCCCAGAUCUUGACCUGAUGGUAGCCAGAGCGAAGGUCUAUCUUAGAAAAUACCUUGGCUCCCACCAACUGAUCAAACAAUACAUCAAUGCGGGGCAAUGGAUACUUAUUUUUGAUGGUCACCGCAUUGAGAGGGCGGUAAUCAACACACAAUCUCAAACUCUCGUCUUUCUUCUUCACGAACAAGGCUGGACAUCCCCAUGGAGACGUACUUGGGCGAAUGAAUCCCUUGUCCAACAACUCUUGCAACUGCUUUUUCAAUUCUGCCAACUCUGCUGGAAGCAUCCUAUAGGGUCUCUUAGAUAUAGGAGCAGUUCCGGGUUGCGGCUCAAUUGCAAACUCUAUGCCUCUGUCGGGUGGCAUCCCUGGCAAUUCUUCUGGGAAAACAUCGGGGUAUUCACAUACCACUGGGGUUCUCUCAAUAGGUGACUCUAUCAUAGUGAAGGCACAGGAACGAGUACAACCCUGGUCGGGUAGGUACAAGGUGAUCUCUCCAUCCAGUGGGGAGUGAAUUUCUAUGUCUCUAGCUGCGACAUCAAUUACAACAUGGUGUCGUGAUAACCAAUCAGUCCCCAGGAUGAUAUCCAUACUAUCCAAUCCCAUGAUCAGGAGAGUGGUUUUAAAUAUGAAGCUACCCAACCUUGUUGGUACGUGUCUGUUAAUUUGAUAGGUGGCAACCCUGCCUCCUGGUGUAGAAAUUGUGAUACCCCCAUUGGUGUGGUGAAAAGGUAACUGACAUUUGGCGCUAAAUUUUGCGCUGAUGAAGCUGUGUGAUGCACCAGAAUCAAAAAGAAUGACUGCUGGAAAAUUUAAAAUGGAAAAGAUACCAGUCAAGACGGGUGCUCCCUCUGGAAUGUCAGCCAACAUGGUGAAGUUCAGCCUGCCUUGCCUCACUUGUACCUUCUGCCUCUUGCCUUGGUUCUGAUUAGAAUUCUGCCCCUGCCUCUGCUGGUUCUUGGGGCAAUUCUUGGCGUAAUGUCCAGUGCUACCACAAGUGAAACAUCUGUUGUCAUUGGCUUGACGGUACUGCUGCUGUGGCUGGUUGUUGUUACUCUGAACUAGGGGCUGAGAGCAGUUGGGUGCCUGUUGCUGCUAUUGUGGUCGGAUCACCCACCAUCCUUGCUACUACUGAGGUCCCCUGUUUUGAAUGCCAGACACAAUCCUGAAGCGCUAGGGCUGAGCUAGAGGUCCUGCCAUAGGGGUCUUCCUCUUCUUCUCUGCCUGGCGAGCUGUGAUGCAAUCUUCCUGAGAAAUGGCCAGGUUGACUAACUCAUUGUAGCUGUUGGCCCUGACUACGUUGAGACGGUCGCAGAGCUUAGUACUGAGACCCCUCCUGAACCUGUCCCUCUUCUUCUCAUCUGUGUCAGCAUGAUAGCCUGCAUACUAACACAUGUCAUUGAAGGCUUGGGCGUACUAUAACACUGUACGACUCCCUUGAGUGAGUGCCAGAAACUCAUUGAGCUUGCGGUCCAUGAUGCCUACUGGUAUGUGAUGUCCUCGGAAUGCUGCCUUAAAUUCUCCCCAUUCCACAACGUGAUCAAUUGGCUGCAUAGCGAGAAAGUGAUCCUACCAUGUUCGCGCGGGUCCGCGAAGUUGCUGGGUGGCGAACCGGACCUUAGCCACAUCUAAACAAACUCCAUUAAGCAGUGGGAAUUUGGAUUCCACCACCCUGAGCCAUACAUCAGCAUCAAGGGGAUCCUCUGCUCGAGUGAACAAUGGUGGCUGAGUGCUGAGGAACUCCUGAUAGGUGGCUGCUGCUGGGGGACGCUAAGGGUGAUCACCACCACCAUAGUGCUGAGGUGGUGGCUGACGCUGAGCCAACUGUCGCAGAAUCUCAUUCUACUGAGCCAUCAAUUCUUGCAUGGUAGGAGGCGGAAGCGGUGGUGGAGGAAUGCGCUCAUUCUGUCCACGGCGCGCUCUUCCUGCCAUCUGAAAAUUUAGGAUGCUCUUAAUAUCAUACUUUUGAUGUCAGGGUUCAUACAUAGUAAAAGAUUUGGAAGGAAAAAGUCUGCAGAAUGCCAAACAUUUCCUUGCAUUUUUCAUAAAAGACACCACAUGAGAUAAAACUUUCUUCAUAAGUUAAAGUUGACAUCAUCCAUCAUUCAUAAUUCCAAAAGAGUUUGCUACUGGUUACAUCAGUGCUCAAAAGACUCAACUCUUUCAAGCCUAGUACCCCAAAGGUGCAAAAGCUAAGCUAGUUUCGAGGAGUUCUACCACCACACACUUCUAACCCUAUCCCUGAAACCUAAUGAGCAAACGAGGCAAUGCUUGACUCAGGGGAAGGUGGUCUCCCUGAGCCAGCAGUGUCUAGGCUGGAUGCAGGCUUCGGCUCGUCUCCUCCCUCGAUGUCUGUUGGGGACUUGUUCUCAAAUGCUAUGAGUUAAGAACAAGGCAACACAGAGAAUGUUAAACGAUAAAGUCCUUCGUCCUUUGAAGCAUUAUUUCCCUUAGGAUAUAACGAUCUUCGGACGAAGGUCAUGAAGGACGAACCUUCAUCAUCACAGUAUACAUUAAUGAAAGACGAAGCAUAUGAAACAUAAAAGAUAGUAUGAAUAAUCAUAUAACAUUAUCCAUUUAACUUUAUUAUAUCAUCAUAGAGAAAUAGAAACAAUAUCGAAUUAUAAAUGUACCUUCGGCUUGGAAGGAGAUGAAAAUAUGUGUGACGCAAAAGCAAACGCCAAGUCAACGUGAACAGUACGGGGGUACUGUUCACCUAUUUAUAGGCACGGGGUACAACCCAUACAAAAUUACAUACAUGCCCUUUACAUUUGGUGAUAAUUCUAUAGCACUCUAUCGAGGUCUAAAUGGCCUUUUCAUCUUUAAGUCGGUUCCCUUUUCUGCGAACAUGCCGAAGCUUUCCUGCUUCACAGCUUCGGCGCUGUGUCAACCUUUGUAGCUUUCCCUUUCUGAUACGAGUCCGAAGAUACCUGCUCACACAUUUUAAGCCGCUUCUCCCUUGAAGACCUUCGGCGACGAAGCAUAGACCCAACAAUGUCAACAUCCUCGUCGGCCUCCAUGUCCUGAAUCUCCUGAUGGUGCAUAUCCAAGUGUUGGUUAGCUUCCUCAAGUUACUGCUGUGUGUUCAUAAGCUGAUCCUCGAGAACCUCGAUGGUGUUCUCCCUAGAUCCUACUAGCUCCUCAAGCUCUUGGAUCUGGGUGGCCAUCUGCGCCACCUGGAGGUCCUUCUCCACCAUCUCAGUGGAUAGGUCUACCACAAGGUCCUCUAUCACACCCGGGUUUCGGGGCACCAAGACCCGGGCGCGAACAUAAUCACCAGGUGUGCUGGGACCAAGUCUCACACAUAUGAUGAUUCAUGGCACAUGAUCGAAUGUCACAUCUUUACUACAUAACAGGAGUUCUAUACAAAAUAAAUAAAUAAUUACAUUGUAAGGAGACAACGGUCCAGUAACCCAAAGUUGACUGGGAGACGACGGCCUAGAUCUCUCACGAACUCAUCGUAGCAUCCUCCAUGCGCCUCAUCCUGCGGUACCUGUUCUUGACCUGUGGGGGUGUGAGACAGCAAGAGUGAGCUCACAUACGUUCAUCACUCAACAAGUUGUGGGGAAUAAUGUGCAUGAACUCGCCAAAGGUGGGAGCUCACGUGAAGUGUAAGGCUUACCAAAGAGGAUGGUUAGAGCUGAGCAUUGCUUUUAAAGUUGGUCAAAAUUUUAUUAGCAAUUACUAAGUAUAAGUAAAUACCAACCCAAUUAAGUAGUAGAACAAAAGUAACAACAUCACCUGCGAUGCAAUGCAUAUGACAAAUUGAAUUUAGUUCCAUAAGUUAAUCAUCAGAGAGUCCUGAGCUGCUCAUGACCGUGAGCUCGGCUAGUAUACCAGUUUUACACUCUGUAGAGGUGGUACCCUUUACCCACAAGUCGUGUAUCCCAUGUCGCCAGGGUUAGCUAGACCCUUAGACACUACCGAGGUGAAUGGCUAGGGAUCCACUACGAGGCCUUUACAAAGUUCCACUAGCUUCCGAAAACCCGCUACAGUUUAUGAGAAGCGCACUUGCAAGAAUCCCCCGUCUGACCGCCAUCGCAGCAAAAUCAACCCGAGAACCUCCUUGCAUGCAACUCCCCUACUGCCCUUGCCCCUUUCGGGUAAGGUAGUCUUCCGCUAGCUUUCCUAAUUAAUCAGCCAAGGGCGUCCAUAAACCCUUGUGGUGAUACGUGUUUCUCAAGUUAAGCUCUAUGUUCCAAUUAACAUUAAUGAUCUUGACAUGAACAUAAAUAGAAUAACAAAAUAACUGGAACAUAGAUAUGAUAAAUAAUUAUCCCAAAUCCAUGUAAAGCAAUAGCAAACUACCCAAGUGAUUCAGAGGUAAACAAGGUAAUGAGAUAAACAAUCUAGGGUAACCUAUUGGGUCCCAUCAAAAUUAACCUAUGCAUGAAUAAAUGAUAUUAAAGAACAUUAUUGGGUAAAAAGUGGACAAGGGCACAACUUGCCUGACACUUGAGAUUCCAGUUACCAGGGUGAUUCUUCGGAUCCUCGUGACCUCACUACUAGUCGUAGCAAUACAAGCAAACAUGGUAUAGACAAAAUUAACAUAACACCAAACAUAAGAACAAACUGAAUAAUAAUAAUCUACGCGAAGUUACGAGAUCGCGGGAACGAGAAUCACUAGAAUCGGAGUUACUAGUAGGGAGUUAAGAUUUAUAAAAGAUUUAUGUGAUUAAAGGAUUAAACUAUAUUGUAAAUUGGUUAAUAUAAAUCAUAUAAGAGGUUAUUCUAUAAAUAAUUAUCUCAACUACAAUCUAGGUUAUAAAUUGACCAUAAAUUAUAUUUUGGUAGAUUAUAAUGAUAAGUAGAUUAACAAGAGUAAUUCACAUAAGUUGAAUAAAGAUCUAAAAAGAAUGAGACAUGGCCUAAUAAAUGUGGUUAUUGCAUAUUAAAUAUUUAUACAAGACUAACGCAACUUGAAUGGAUCAAAUCGGAGAUAAAACAGAGGAGAUACGAAUUUCCUAAGGUUUUAUGUAUUUGAUACGAGAUUAGUUAAGAAUUAAAUUUUAAUACUAUUUUCAUGUUAAAACAGAGACACAGGGUGAUAAACAACAUUAUUACAGAAUUAUAGGAACUGGAAUGAAUUAAUUUAGACAUCAUAUGAAUUUUAUAUAAAUUAAACAUGUUUCUGCGAUUAAUUUUAUACUGAAAACUAUUUUCUAAAUGAAUUUCUCGAUUUUAAUAGGGGCUUGGUCUGCGCGCUAAAUAAACAGAAACACAGGGGCUAACUCACAAUGAUUUCCAAGACUCAGCAACCCCCGCACAGGACGGCGGGUUUAAUACUUUAUUCUGUAGGGGCUCAUAUGAAAAAGAGUUGGCCGAAGGGGUACGGGCCAAUAUGUGUCGUCCGAACUUUGUGCAGCGGACGAGAUUAGAUGGCGCAGGGUUAUGAACCGGUAUGUAAUUAUAACCACACGAUCGUGAUCCGAUGGCGCAUGAUCAAUAGAACGAAAGGGUACGCCCAAAUUAAUCUCUACCAUCCGUCUCAAAUCCUACAAUCCGGAGCCCUCUUCUAGUCCUAACCGUUCAUCGCGAGAUCAAUGGUCCUGGGCUCGUCUUCUUCCCUACGCUGAGCACACGACAGCCAAGGACUGCACCGCGACAACUCCAUUGCGGCCCAUGGCCAUCCCUCAGGCCGGCGCCCAAACUCUAAUAUAACCAGUGCUACACGUUGAGAAGGAAAAUACAAACUUCAUGGAUGCGCUUUUACCUCAGUUGACGACGCAGACGCGAGCUUGUCGAGGAGCGGAUCAAUGGCGGCGCGCGGUGAGGCCCGACCGAAAUCUCCCCAGCGCAACACAGAGAGCCGUCGAGCUCCGCCCCGUGACCCUGCCCGCGCGGACCUCCGCGCUGCUGCCGCACCGGCCAAUGCGCAGUCCGAGGCCAUACUUGUUGACCGACGAAUAGCGCCGGCCCACUAGGCGCUCCCCAGACCUGACCCCAAGGCCGGCCGAUGGCGAAGACGCGUGGGCUUCCUACUCUCUCUCCCUCGGUCUGUCUCUCUCGGCACGACGUGCUCUCCUAUCUCUCUCUUCGCUGUGCCCUCAUCCAGUUCGAUGGAACAUGGAUUCACAACUCAAUUGUUGCUCGGUCUAUGGAACAAGGAGGGCGCCGGGCUCCAUAAUUAUACUACCUGGUCAAGGCGCCCAGGCGAGAGAUUCAGCGCAAGAUCCUAACUGAAUUUUGUUACGUGAUCGGGUUUAAGUUGAUGACGAUGGUGCUAGGUUCUGAGCCCCACACGGCAGUGGAAUAAGUGAAUCAAUUUGGUGAUGUAAUUUCUGGUGUCAUGAUGACAUAUGCAUGCGACUAGAUGAUUAAACAAAUGUCAAAAAUAAACACACGUAUAGAUAUGUUAGCCGGCUGAAACUUGCAAAGUGGGAAACUGCGAAUGGGCUGCCCACGCGUGUUCUUUUUCUUUCGUCUUUUUUUGCCUAGUUUAUUUUUUUAUUGUUUUCUAGAUUUCAAAAUUUAAAUUUGGUUUUAAAAUUCAAACUUAAAUACAUAUGUACAUCCAAUAGAACUCAACAUGAAUGCAAGUGUACUUCAUCAAUUACUCCAUUUUUUGAAUAGAUGUAGAUACAUAAUCCAAAAGCAAAUCACUCAUAUAAAUAAAUGAAAAUCUUCAUGUUUGUUUAUUUUAUGAAUUUCAAGGUCAAACUCUAGUAUUCUAGAUCUAAGUAUAUCUUUGAAUAAUUGAAUUUUAAUACUACCAAAAUUUUAUAUAAGAGCUAUUAAGAAUCCUUAUUAGAAACUUUUUUUCCAAAAUCUUUUGAAAAACUUGCCUAAUCUCCAAGAUAAUAUUUUUAGGGUGUUACAUCCUCCCUGUUAUCCAGGGUGAUCUUGGUAGCCUCUACCAGGCCCAUCAGCUGAGACAUUGCCUCACCUCGCAUCGCUUGCAGGCGGUACAAGGCAUUCAUGCAUCGCACCGUCACGUGAGCAGUCUGCCCUGGGUAAAGAGCCCACACAUCCUUGGCAUGCUCCACUCGAUCCUUCCACAUUGGGUCGUCCUCCUUUUCAGCGGGGAACAAACCAAUGGGAUUAGUGGACAGCUCCAAGGGGUGAAAGCCACAAAAGGUCGUCAACCCGUGGAGAGCAAUGGCCUCGAUAGUGUCUUCAGCCCGGUAUCCGAAAGACUUGGAGUCCAACAAAUGCCAGCCUGGCUGCAAGGGAUGAGGCUCCAAGGUCAUCCUCACCCUACAGCGGGGUACCCGGUGCUCCUCGAACAGCUGCACCGCGUACUGGGGAGGCAUCGUAUAACCGGCUCCCUGCAGCACCUCCCACAAGAUGCGGGGAAAACCCUCUCAUGCAAGUCCAUCCAUGUGGGAAUGUGUGUUCCCUCCUUCUGAGGAUUCGUGAGAAUUCAACUGUGUAAGGGUAAGCGUAAGCGAAAAAGAAAAAGAAUUAUAAAAAUAAAAGAGGGGAUCAGUGCUUGGCUUUUCGAAGGUUACGAUGAGGUCCCAGAGUGUACUUAAUCUUUUAUUAUCGUGCCUCAUAGCAUUUAAGGUUCUUGACCAAUUACCAAGUAGUUUGAAAUAAAUGAUGCAUGCAUGCUCGUCCUAAACGACCUCACAUCAACCUAUAGGGAAUAGGGAAAUCCCCAUCCCUUAUAGUAGCCCGUAGGGCUUACUCAAAUAGCCACCUAGUUACCCCUCUUGUAUCCUAAGGCAUUCACGCUCUAUGUUCAUCCCUAUCGUCUUACUGAUCUAUCCAGCACUGGUUUCUAACAAGUUUUACUUUUCGAAAAGGAUGGUAAUUAUGAUUUAUUGAUUCCUCUGUGGUGGUACAAGCUCCGAUACCAGCUGCGGCGGAACCGCCCGAAUUAUUCUAACUUAAGUGCCUAAGUCCCACCUUAAAGGCUAGACCACACUUAAAUAGGAAUUAAACGUCAGGCCCUCGGAUCUAGUCUGACGAGGCCACUAACAGGAUCAAGUACCACGUACUCACUCCAAGGUGAGGCAUAGAGCAAACACAAUAAAGCAUAAAACCAUAAGUUAAGGAGUAUUUAAUUUAUUACAACAUCAUCGGAGUUUAUCAAAAGUAGUGAUCAUUGUUCGGAAUGCAGCGGAAUAUAACUAACGGUAAAUAAACGGAGGGAUGGGGAAGCCCAUCCCAUCACUCCUCAUGCUCCUAUUUUGCCGAGGUAGGGUCCCACUCGACUGUCCAACCCGGUGGCAAGAUGGAUGGCCAAGUCACUCCAGCAACCAUGUCCUCCGGAGAACCCGUAAAAAUUAUGCCACAAGCAAGGCUGAGUAUACUAAUACUCAGCUAGACUUACCCGGUGUGAGGAGUCUACUCCUCUACCUCUAGACAUGCAACUGUUUGGCUGAGGGGUUUGGUUUGCCAAAAGCACUAGCUGAGUCUAAAAUCAGAUUUUUGCUCUUCAAGUUUUAGUGUGAUUCUCUUAAGACUAAAUGUGUAUCUAUCUAAUCAUACAUGGUAUCAAUCAUUUAGCAAUCAACAUCAUUUUUGCCAGUCAACACAUUUCCACUUGUUACUCAAUGUAGCAGCAUGGAUCAAGCAGUCUCAUUAGCUGCGAGAAGAAGACGAUUCGAAUCGAGUUUUUAAACCUUGCAAGGUAAACCUAAACACACGACGUGGCAAGGCACUCCGUCCCCACACACAUCAACCGUCUCCAUCAAUUCCCCGUCAAAAGAUCAGGGCUCACCGCCUUGGCGUACAAUGCCUCACUGACCCCGACUGCCGUCGUGCAGUGACCGUACUUGUACCCACCAUAACUGGAAUGGGAGACCACGUAUCAGGUCGCGUGAGGGGCAAAGUGUGUGGGCAGGUUCACUUAGGUACUAGGCUUACCGAUUUACCAUAUUUCUCGGCAUGUGCUUAGUACGUUCAAACGCUUGACACACGGUACCACACCUUAAUCCUUAUUCCCAUUUCCGUCUCGUAGACAAUGCAUCCCCAUGGACCGUUGUCCACAGACCAUCAUCAAUAUGAUAUAUAAAUGGAUACAAGCUAUUCCUGACCUCGCGCGAGUGCUAGAAAAAUCACUCGACUUCUACUGAGAUCCCUAAUUAGCAAGCAGCUACUCGACCUAACAUACUAGUAUCCAUCUCAAAAGGAAAUCCUUAGUUCAUGCAACUAAGUUUCCAAACAACUCCUACACUUAAGUGCACAUUACAAACCUACAAACAUUAAGUGCAGUAAAAUAUCAUAUAGAAUAGGUUAUGCAUAAAACCAGGGCUUGCUUCCAAAGCUGGGGCAGGCAGAUCCUCGAUGGCAGGCUCUAGUGCUGGCUCCUGGACUACCUCCUGAGCAACUCCUUGCUCCGGAACGAGGAUGUAUUCCCCGUCAGUGAGAUUACAUUCUAUUGAAUGCAAUGAAUACGAUAUAUGCAUAUUAAUGAUAAGAAAAUUUGUAAAGGCUAUGCAUAGUAAAACAGUACUAAAUUUAGUGGUACUUUAGGGUUUCCUUUGGUUAUCUUUAAGGGUUUUAUACCUUCAUUUUUGGGGUUUUGAAAUAAACUUAAAGUUUCAGUCCUCCCUUAGAGGUUUGUUUUGGCUUUUGGAAGAAUCAAGGUUGCACCCCACUAUUCUUUCCCAAUUUCUUAUUUUAAUUUCAAUUAUGCCUCUUAGUGAGUGCUUUUACACUAUCAUGGCAAGUUAACAUUUUCCAAAAAUGUUAUAAAAAUUACAGUGGGUAAACAUUUACCUAUGUGGGUUAUUCUAAAAAUUUGAGGUUGAUAUUAAUUCAGAUGCUCCUUGUGCUAAUUUAAUAAAAGUAAGGGUAAAAGGGCACUUUACACUAUAGCUCUAAUCUCUGUGAAGUUUCUGGGUCAACAUUUAUUUUUGCCAAGAUUCCUAGGAAAUAAUAGGUCUUUGUGUUAAAAAUCACAGAAAAAAGCCUACUAGAUAUUUAGUUGGGAUUUUCUAAAGUUUAAUGCCAAAAAGGUACUUAUAACUAACUUGUCAUUUGAAAAAUGUCAAACAACAGAAGUUAUAUUUUUCCUAGAUUCAUAAAAACAUACUAUUAGUUAUCCUAAGGUUUGGGGUGGUUUCUCCUCAGGAUUAUUUUUCUAUGGUUUUUCUAAGUUUUCCAUGGUUUUCAUAAAAUAAAAGGUAGUGCAUUUCUUCUGUACUACAAAGGGCUUAACAAAAUUUUCAAGUGAACUAUGUUAAGAAAGUAAGCUAGCAAAAAUGUGGUUGCCCCCUGGUUUUCUUUUUAAACUCCCUUUUCUCUUUUCUUUAACUUUGAGUCAAAGUAAGUUUAAAUGGUAAACCUUUCCCUAUUCUGGUGUACUGAGGGGUUUAUUAUUUUUAAACAGGCUAGGUAGUUUUUUAGUACCUCUCUGAUUUUUCUUAACCCUAGUCUAACAGUGUAGCUAUUUUUCCCUCUUUUAUUUAGCUUUUGGCCAGUUUACUAAUAAAAUCAAAACUUUAAAAUCUUCUGCAAUACUUAGGGUGUUUUGUAUUUUUCCUAAGCAGUUCAUAUUAUUCAAAACCUAGCAAAAUUGGUUUGACUAAAUUUGGUUAAAUAAAACUGAAGUUACAAAUUUUACAAGCUCUGUUUACAUUUAAAUGAAAAAUGUUUAAAAGGUUUUAUGAAAAACUAGUUUACACUGAGGACCCUCGGCUUUUCCUAAACCAAUUCUUUAAUUUAUGCCCCUGUGCAACUAUUCACCUGAGUCUCUGACCAUUCAAAAACCCCCCCGACUUCUUCUCCUUUCUCCCCGAGGUCCCUCCCCCCUUUUAAAUAGUAACCGCGGAAGUAAACAGGACAGCGCGGCUUACAGGCGGCGAGGGAGGUCCGCGAAGGGCGGGGUUAGCUCCGGGAAGUCCUUGCGGUCACGUCGAGGUACGGCUCGUCGACGGUGAUGGCCGGAAUCGAUCGGGCCACGUGCGCAGGCGGGCGGGCUUGUCGGAGGCGUGUGCUUUGGCCUGCUCACGGUGGUAGGGUUCAAUCCAAGGGCAUAAGGAGCUUCACGGGGUGCUAAGAAUCUACCCGUGCAAGGAAUCGAAGAAAUACUCACCGUGGGGCUCGGUCUACGUACGCAGGCGGCCGGGUGAAGUCCGGCGACGUUGAUCCGGUGUCUCCGGCGAGGUAGAGCUCGAUUCCUGGCUCUGGAAGCUUCACCGAGACACAUAGAGGCUAGCUCGAGGGUUGGACGGGGCGGGGAAUGGCUAGGAUGGCCGGUCUACGGUGGUCGGGUCUCGGGCGGCCGCUGGCACGCCGUGCGCAGAGCAAUCGCCGGUGAACUUGUGCUCCGGCGAGGUUGAGAGCGAGCGGGGGCGUACGGUCGAGGCCUCGGUCGGCUUUAUAGGCGCGGGCGCAGGCGCGGGCAUGGGUUUGGCUUGGCACAGCGAGGUGCGUGCGGGGUCGAGCGCCGGGGCGUGCUCUGGCGUUGCCAGGGCGCGUCGAACACGUGGCUUUGUUAUUCUGCAAACGUUCUUGCGCCUGCUGAGCACCCAAACGUGUGAAUCUUGCCAUAUGGCUUGUGUAAGAUUUCUUCCCUGCACCUAGAGCUACCUAGUUCAUGUGAGUUCCAAGGGGAGAUCGGGUCUGGCUUAGAAGAUAUGGUGGCACCAAGUCUUGUUUGUCUGCACUGUUCAACCCGAGACAAAACAGGUGUCAACUCGUGUCAAACGGUCUUGGCUUGGGUUCAAACUCUUCCAGGGUGUCCCUUAGGUAAUUUAGCUCCUUUUUGUUAUUUAGACCAAGUGGUUUUGGCGCCAUAAAUUAGGUGAACACCUCUGAUCUAUAGAUUAGGGUUGAUUUUGGACUUAGAGAAAAAUGUGGGUUGCUCUAUAGUGUCCUCCAUUUGGGGCUGAUUUGGGGUCUUUAAGGGGUCUUUUUGUAAUGUUUCCCUUACUGUAUUUUGUAGAUAUAUUAGUGUACUUAAACUUUGGUUAAGGGUUAAAGCCAAGAAUUUGUCAUUUGAUUAGCUUUCCCACUAAUCUCCUGCUUGGAGGUCUAAUGCUUUAAGGGGGUCUAGGGUUUGAACCUCUUUUGUCCAGGGUGAUAAUUGCAUAAAAUAUUUGGGUAAUGCUUUUGUCAUGAACAUUCCUUAGCUAACCCAUGGUUUCCAAGGUUUUGGUGCUCCUUCUCCUCCACUUAAACACAUGUGAUAACAAGUCAUAAGUGCAUGUAUGGAGCCAGGGCCUUGGGUAACACAUGGGGUGUUACAACAAUCAUUGACACAUAACUCCAAAAGGUAUAGUAUUAAGUGUAGAGGAAUGAUAUCAAGUUUACAAAGAAAAUGGAGUAAUCCUAAUUGGGGAAUUGAUUACUCUCUAAAUGUUUGGGACAUAGUUCAAAAAGGUUAAGUAAUGAUUAAAACAAAGGAAAGCUAGAAUUAUGAUAUAAACUACUCUCAUUUAGGAAUUUGACUACCUUUUAGGUAUUAUCCAUAAUUACAUUCCUAAUUCUGUUUAUGUUAUUAAGGCCUAAAGGUUAAGUCCAAAAAUAAAUCCAAGUGAUGCAUAACACUAAUCUCACAAGAUUGAAUGUACUUUAUUACUAGGGUUCUUCUUUUAUUUAUUUCAUUAAAUAAAUACAUAUAUACUUUAAUUCUAUAUUCCAAGUGUAAACAUUAAAGUAUGCAGAUUACAGUUGACUAUAUUUUAUUUGGACAGAGAAUAAUCUUGUGAACAUUUUGCAAUUUGAACCACUAAAUUUGGAGUUCAUAUGAAAAAGAUAUGAAAUAAACAAGUUUUCAAGUUUGAAAGAUGAAAUUAAGGCCAAAUAUGUAAUUAAAUAAGUCCAGGGGCUAUUCUAAAGAAACCAGGGACCUAAGCGCUAAAACAGUGGAUGGCGGGUGUAACAUCCCAAAAUUUCAACCCGAGGUUUGGAACCCUAAUCUCCUAACCCCUUUUUUUUAUCUCUCCCUAAAUUCCACCCCAUAUGUCAUCUCAUCAUAUGCAUGCAUUUGAUUGUUAGAAGCACCUCACAUAGAUUAAUAUUUUUCUAGCACCCGAGAUUUUUUUAGCUAUUUAUUUGUUCAAGAGAAAAGGAGAUAAAAGAAAUAGAAAUAUAAAAUAGAAAUAAGAAAUGGAAAAAGAAAAAAAAGGAGAAAGGAAACCCCCCCUCGGCUGGGUCGCUUCCGCCCAAGCCGCCUCCCUCGCGCGCGCCUGCCCCUCCCCCUCUCCCUCUGCGGCCCAAGCAGCCCAUCACCGCGCGCCCGCGCCCACCCCUGACACCCCGGCCCCACCCGUCAGCCACGCUCCCCUCCCUCACGACCGCCCCUCUCUGGCAGGUGGGCCUCGCCUGUCAGCCCCUUCUCCCCCUCGCCCGUGACUAGGCUACCGGCGCGUUCACCGCCGGCCACCGUUCGCCCCAUCUCCUCGCCUUUAACACGCUCACCAGCUCGAUUAGCAUCAUGCGCCCCCGCACACUGUGCCCGAGCCGUCCCUUCACCCCCCCCCCCGCCUGCCCGAGCUGUCCCGUCGCCACUUUGUGCCAUCACCACCGUCAUGGUGAGCUCGCCGGUGCUCGCCACCUCUCCUCCCUUCCCCCUCCCCGACCACCUAUAAAAGGACCGCCCCGAGCCCCUUGUUCCACCACACCAGGCCUCAGCCACUCCACCUCCCUCCCUUGGGCCCAAUCGAGCUCGGCGCCGUCGUCCCUCCCCUCUCCGGUGAGCUCCACCCUACUCUCUCUGGUGGCUUAUGGUCAAAUUGCUUUAGCUCUUAAGCUCCACCUCUCUGUCGCAAGCCUAGCACACACCUCCUCUUCGCUUAUUGCACCCGGAAGCCUCGUCGGUGACUUCACCGCCGCGAGCGCCCGCCACCGCGCCAUGGACCGGCCAGCCCAGGCACCCUCCGGCCAAAUUGGACCUACCCCCAUGGUCCCCUACCCCCGCCCGUGCUUCGCCACCACUCCCCCGUCGCAGAACCGGAGCCCCGGCGGAGAACCGCCGCGGGGCAUCACCGGCGGUCGAGCCCCGGCCGGUUCGCCCCCCCCUCACCGCUCCACGCCGUCAGCCCCCUUCCUC